AAUCAGCACUCUGUGUAUAUGCAGUCUUAUCUUCCCUCUAUCAAGACAUCUUUUGAUGUGCCUGCCCUAUGUUGACCUCUUUGUUUUUGUGGAUUUUGUUCUCAUUUGGACUUCAUUUCAUUGGCCAUCAAAGCCUGCUAUUUGUUGGGGCUUUCUGACUUCUGCCUCCUACAUGUGGGUCCUUAUUCCUGCUCAUUGCGAUACAUACAAAGGUCAUAACAAGAAGAACAGAUUGUAAUGGAUCUUGUUUCCUUGAACCGAUGAAGCCAAGGGGUGUACUACGAAGUGAGACUGGUGGGUUAUUGAGCAACGUUGAGUUUAAGCUUGAGUUAAAUAUGUUUCCUUGUGUGACGUGGCAGACUGCAGAUGGGACUCACCCGCUCCAGCUGGAUGUAGAACGUCUGGUCCCAGCUCAGCCUGCUGAUGGCUGCCCAGCGCGUCCGGCCGACCACUCUGCCGUCCAGCCUGAGCACGCCACUGAUCUCUGCGCUGUGAAGCACAAAAUCACCCCGAGUGAGACCCGAUCUGAAUGCUCGCUGCAUACAGAGCAACUCCAGGAUUUGUCUCCUCGUUACAUCAUCAUCAUGAGGCUUUUUUUUUUUUUUUUUUUGCCUUUUUAGCCUCCAGCAGGGAGAGAUGGGCUUACAAGUGAACUGUCCAAAACCAGCAGAUUACAUGUCUGAUUAUCCACUGCCAGAGGUCAGCGUAUGGUUAGCCAUGUUCCAACACUGGGCAGGCAUGGUGCCGCUAGAAAGAGCUAUGUGUUAGAGAGAAAAAAACAUAAAGCUUUCUUUGAGAUGUAGGUGUUUGAGCAAAUUAAUGUUAGGAGAGAUUUUUAAAGAUCAGUAAUAAUUUCACACAGAUUUCCUGGGAAUAACUACUUAAAAAUAGUGUUAAUUAGUACACUUGCAAUUAGUUAAAUCCAGUUAUUUUCCAGUCUUCUGAAUGUACUAACACAUGAAAUGUGUCUAUAAUUAAACAUAUGAUUCUGUAA